rnacentral:lncRNA from 1 species
UCACUUCCGGCAGCAUGUUUUCAAAACUAUGCAGACGAAUUCAAAGACGAACUCUGUCAAAUUUUCAAACAUUUGUGCGUCAGAAGCAAAAACAGACAAUAGUGACACCAAACCAGAUCUACUCCAACACUUUUUACAGAUAUUCGUUGGUUAUAAACCAGUUAGAAAACACACUAUUAAACAUUUUAAAACGGCGAAAUACCGGCUUCUCAUUCAAGACCUUUGCUGUGCCGUUUGUAGGAUCAUUGGCACUGAUAGGAAUCAAAGCAAAUUGUUCCGGGAAUUUUGAUGCAAAUC